UUUUUGAGUGGGGAGUAUUGUUUCUCUUAUUUUCUUCCCAUUUUUUCUUCAUUCUUGUUUACUGCCAUAAUGUUUCAGUAUGGCCCUUUAUCACUUGGAGAGCAAGUACAUGAGAAAUCUGUUCAAAUGCAGUAAAAUUCCAUCAGAGCUAUUAAAAAAUAUUUGCUGCUUCUCAUUUCUCUCUGGAGGAUCCUUUGAGGUGACAGCUCUGGACUGUUUCAUCCAUGCCAUCAUCUUCUGGAAUAUGUUUGAUUGUAGCAAUUGUGGCACAUUGAGAGUUUGGCUUUAACUUAGUGAUUGAGUUUUCACUGGAGCAGUGAAAAAUGUGCAGUGUUUCUACCUGCUGGCUUUGGCUUUAUUUAAAUUUCUAAGUAUUUGCAAUUUAAAUCAGAGUGUGUUCUACUCGGCCUGUUUUUCUCAGCUAUUCAUUUUCCAAAAAAGAAACAGCUGUGGCUGCAGAACCAAAUGUGUAAUGACUGGAGCACAAAAUGAGGAAAAACAAAUUCAUUUCCUCAUAAAUAAUUUAUAUUUCACCACCUCAGUGUAAUAAAUAGUUUAAUUGGUAUUGGUAUAUUAUUGACUUGGAAUAACAAAAGGCCUAAUCUCACUUUACUGUAUUUCACAUUUACCAUGAUGCUUUCCAUCUGAACAGGAUUAUUCUUAAAAAUGUUUUUUAUGCUUAGCUUUUAGCUAGUGAUUUAGUAUCAGAUCAUUAAAAAUGUCCCUCUAAGAAAUCCCAGCUAAUUUCUGUUUGUUGGAGUCACUAGGAAAGAGGUAUCCAUUCUUUCAGUCAAUGAUCCUGAGAAUAGAUAGCAAGUUGUUGUUGAUCGAAUCUGUGUUUGGCAGCCUGUGGGUGAACACUGACAAGGGCAGAGCAACCUGGCCUCUUCUGCUGCCUGGCUCUCAUCCACCGUCUGUGUACAAAGUCACCACAGUGUUGGGCUUUUGCAUCUAGUGCUCAGGGCAGAAGCAACACAAUUCCCUGGAAAGCAGUGACACUGGAAAUUGUAGGGAAAAAAUCAGCAUCUGCUUCCAAGGAUUCUUUGAAUACGUAUGAGCAGAGAUGAGCAUAACACUGAUCCUAGCUUUGUAUGCUGCCUGGUGAGUCUGAUGCUCAAUUUGUAAUUUUGACAGGAAAUAGAAAAAAAUGGAGCACUGAAAGAGAAAAGGGAAUUAUUGAGGGGUACCUCUGUUAGACUGAAAAUCUCCCAAUGUUAUUCUAUUGAAAAUAAACUGAUACAAAAUAUGGUUGUGAUGUGUCAUAAUCUUCUUAGGGGGAAAAAAGUAAACAAAGGAAACUUUAACAGAGAAAGGAUUAAAGAGUAUAUGAAAAUAGAAGUCAAAAUUCAAAUUUAAAAGAACAACUGCUUAAUUACUAGAACUAGAAGCAGUGAAGAAGUAUGGUGGAUCCUUCAUUUUUCAGUGCUUUCCUGAGUACAACAUGCCUUUAAGGAAGAACUGCUUUAGGCCAGUGUUGAUCAAACUUUCUGGAAAUAAAGUACUCAUCUAUGCAUGCUUCCUGGAGCUGGCAGCAGUUGCUCAGUUUCUUCCAAAAGAGAAAGAAAAGCCAGAAUAAACUCUUUCCACAGAGAGAAAAUGCUUGUUUAGUUGAACACAAGCAUAAGUGGCUAGCCCCAAACACAAAUGUAACUGGGUGGAAUUCAUUGUCCUUGGAAGCUACAAUGGAAGAGGCAGUAAAAGUUAAGCAUUACAAAAUCUUUUUUUGAAACCUGGAUUGGAAAAUGCUAUCUCUAGCUAAUUUGUUAAUAUUUUCAAGCACAUUUCAUUCUGAGGAGAAGUUUCAUGAAAUAGUCAAUGGCCAGAAGAGGAUUGUUCUUCCUUUGUUGAAUAAAGAUCAAAAAGAGUGUGAUCUAAGCCUGGUUUCAGCCUACUGACUGCUGCAAUGAUAAAUAUAACUUAAAAUGCUUCCUCACUAUCAUGAAGUGAACGGGAAAACUUGAUGAUCACAGAAUCGCAGAAUAAUCUGAGUUGGAAGGGAUCAGCAAGGAAUAUCAAGUUGAAAUCCUAGUCCUGCACAGAAGCACACUGAAGAAUCACACCAUGUGUCUGACAGUAUGGUCCAAAUACUUCUUGAACUUUAGUAAUCCUGCUUGAAAUUAGACCGUGAUCUGGCAAAGAGCAUGAAUUAAAGGAACUUGCAUUUUCUAAAUUCAUAGAAAUUCCUCUAACAAAUGCUGAAAAAGAAAAACUUCAUUAUUCUCUCCCCUCGAAUACCAACCAACCAACCAACCAACCAAUCAACCAACUAACCAACCAACCACAACCAAAAACAACUCUUGGAAGAAAAUCCUUUGCUUUCCUAAAUGCUUUUUCCAAUAAAAUUUCAUGGCAUUAUGUUUC